GGGGUGGUCACCUACACCCACUUUACAAACGGCCAGUUUCAAGGCUUCGGGAUGGAGCAAGGAGCCAGCCAUCAGCACUUUGUGGCAAGCAAAAAGGAAAAGCCCAAAUGCAAAUGGGACCUCCCGUGUUUAAUGGCAGCUGGCAGUCAGACCUCUCGAGGAAACCACUUGGGCGGAUACCCUGUCCCACACGGCCGAGCAGUUCCCCCUGCCAGUGGUUGAGAGGGAAAGAUCACGUACCACACACACAGCCAGAGCCUUCUGGACUUAAUAAAAAGAUUCCCUCUUCUUCCCCAAAAUGUUUUGGAUUAACCCAUCAACAUUUCUGGUUUGAUGGCAUGGUGGGAUCCCUGCAGGCACCAGGCUUCAGCAAGGGAGCACACAGAUCGGAGUGAGAGCUUGUGCGGGAUUUCUGUCUGAAGCUGGACUGAAAGGAAAAGAAGAGUUAUCUGUGCAGGCUGUUGAAAACAGGUAGAAAAAGUCUCUUCUGCUGGCUCUGUGGAGACGUGGAUGCAUUUCUUGUGCCAAGCCUGACGGCUGUGUGGACAGACACACUAUUGACACAGGCUAACACAAGCUGCUCUUAGCUGACUGAUGGUAGGGAUCACUUCUAAUUCCUGUGACCGCUGUGUAAAUCCAACAUAACACCACUACAACUGGAAACUUUCUAUAGAUGUGAUUUGGAUGCUGAGGGACAGAUAUUUUUGUUUAUUUUUUUAAUUUACUUCAUUUCUUCACUUUUUUUCAUUCGGACACAGAGGUGUCUCAGGGUUUUUGCAAGCUUGCCCUCCUGCAUCUCUUCUGAUCAGCAGCAAAAAAGCCAAUCUGGGGGCUUCCUAGCCCAUGCCCUGCAGUGAAAGUACAUCUAACACUGCUCUGCUGAAGGUCAGCUGCACUGGUGUCAGCGGGGAGACUGAGCCACAGGGCUGGACGGACACAGGGACAGAAAGGGAGAGCGAGGGAGAAGGGAAAUUACAUGCUUGGUUUUGCAGACAAAAUGAAUCUCCCAGCAGUGCCAGAAUGUCCUCCGGAGCAAAAG